rnacentral:tRNA from 1 species
GGGGGAAUAGCUCAGUGGAAGAGUACCUGCCUAGCAUGCACAAGGUCCUGGGUUCAAUCCCCAAUACUUCCA